rnacentral:rRNA from 1 species
GGGUUGUGAGGUUAAGCGACUAAGCGUACACGGUGGAUGCCCUGGCAGUCAGAGGCGAUGAAGGACGUGCUAAUCUGCGAUAAGCGUCGGUAAGGUGAUAUGAACCGUUAUAACCGGCGAUUUCCGAAUGGGGAAACCCAGUGUGAUUCGUCACACUAUCAUUACGUGAAUACAUAGCGUAAUGAAGCGAACCGGGGGAACUGAAACAUCUAAGUACCCCGAGGAAAAGAAAUCAACCGAGAUUCCCCCAGUAGCGGCGAGCGAACGGGGAGCAGCCCAGAGUCUGAAUCAGCUUGUGUGUUAGUGGAACGGUCUGGAAAGUCCGACGGUACAGGGUGAUAGUCCCGUACACCAAAAUGCACAGGUUGUGAACUCGAAGAGUAGGGCGGGACACGUGGUAUCCUGUCUGAAUAUGGGGACCAUCCUCCAAGGCUAAAUACUCCUGACUGACCGAUAGUGAACCAGUACCGUGAGGGAAAGGCGAAAAGAACCCCGGCGAGGGGAGUGAAAAAGAACCUGAAACCGUGUACGUACAAGCAGUGGGAGCCUCUUUAUGGGGUGACUGCGUACCUUUUGUAUAAUGGGUCAGCGACUUAUAUUCUGUAGCAAGGUUAACCGUAUAGGGGAGCCGAAGGGAAACCGAGUCUUAACUGGGCGUUAAGUUGCAGGGUAUAGACCCGAAACCCGGUGAUUCAGCCAUGGGCAGGUUGAAGGUUGGGUAACACUAACUGGAGGACCGAACCGACUAAUGUUGAAAAAUUAGCGGAUGACUUGUGGCUGGGGGUGAAAGGCCAAUCAAACCGGGAGAUAGCUGGUUCUCCCCGAAAGCUAUUUAGGUAGCGCCUCGUGAAUUCAUCUUCGGGGGUAGAGCACUGUUUCGGCUAGGGGGUCAUCCCGACUUACCAACCCGAUGCAAACUGCGAAUACCGAAGAAUGUUAUCACGGGAGACACACGGCGGGUGCUAACGUCCGUCGUGAAGAGGGAAACAACCCAGACCGCCAGCUAAGGUCCCAAAGUCAUGGUUAAGUGGGAAACGAUGUGGGAAGGCACAGACAGCCAGGAUGUUGGCUUAGAAGCAGCCAUCAUUUAAAGAAAGCGUAAUAGCUCACUGGUCGAGUCGGCCUGCGCGGAAGAUGUAACGGGGCUAAACCAUGCACCGAAGCUGCGGCAGCGACACUAUGUGUUGUUGGGUAGGGGAGCGUUCUGUAAGCCGUUGAAGGUGUAUCGUGAGGUAUGCUGGAGGUAUCAGAAGUGCGAAUGCUGACAUAAGUAACGAUAAUGCGGGUGAAAAACCCGCACGCCGGAAGACCAAGGGUUCCUGUCCAACGUUAAUCGGGGCAGGGUGAGUCGACCCCUAAGGCGAGGCCGAAAGGCGUAGUCGAUGGGAAACAGGUUAAUAUUCCUGUACUUGGUGUUACUGCGAAGGGGGGACGGAGAAGGCUAUGUUAGCCGGGCGACGGUUGUCCCGGUUUAAGCAUGUAGGCGGAGGUUCCGGUAAAUCCGGUACCUUUUAACGCUGAGGUGUGAUGACGAGGCACUACGGUGCUGAAGUAACAAAUGCCCUGCUUCCGGGAAAAGCCUCUAAGCAUCAGGUAACACGAAAUCGUACCCCAAACCGACACAGGUGGUCAGGUAGAGAAUACCAAGGCGCUUGAGAGAACUCGGGUGAAGGAACUAGGCAAAAUGGUGCCGUAACUUCGGGAGAAGGCACGCUGAUAUGUAGGUGAAGUGAUUUACUCAUGGAGCUGAAAUCAGUCGAAGAUACCAGCUGGCUGCAACUGUUUAUUAAAAACACAGCACUGUGCAAACACGAAAGUGGACGUAUACGGUGUGACGCCUGCCCGGUGCCGGAAGGUUAAUUGAUGGGGUUAUCCGUAAGGAGAAGCUCUUGAUCGAAGCCCCGGUAAACGGCGGCCGUAACUAUAACGGUCCUAAGGUAGCGAAAUUCCUUGUCGGGUAAGUUCCGACCUGCACGAAUGGCGUAAUGAUGGCGGGCUGUCUCCACCCGAGACUCAGUGAAAUUGAACUCGCUGUGAAGAUGCAGUGUACCCGCGGCAAGACGGAAAGACCCCGUGAACCUUUACUAUAGCUUGACACUGAACACUGGUCCUUGAUGUGUAGGAUAGGUGGGAGGCUUUGAAGUGUGGACGCCAGUCUGCAUGGAGCCAUCCUUGAAAUACCACCCUUUAAUGGCUGGUGUUCUAACGUGGACCCGUAAUCCGGGUUGCGGACAGUGUCUGGUGGGUAGUUUGACUGGGGCGGUCUCCUCCUAAAGAGUAACGGAGGAGCACGAAGGUUAGCUAAUCCUGGUCGGACAUCAGGAGGUUAGUGCAAAGGCAUAAGCUAGCUUGACUGCGAGAGUGACGGCUCGAGCAGGUGCGAAAGCAGGUCUUAGUGAUCCGGUGGUUCUGAAUGGAAGGGCCAUCGCUCAACGGAUAAAAGGUACUCCGGGGAUAACAGGCUGAUACCGCCCAAGAGUUCAUAUCGACGGCGGUGUUUGGCACCUCGAUGUCGGCUCAUCACAUCCUGGGGCUGAAGUAGGUCCCAAGGGUAUGGCUGUUCGCCAUUUAAAGUGGUACGCGAGCUGGGUUUAGAACGUCGUGAGACAGUUCGGUCCCUAUCUGCCGUGGGCGCUGGAGAAUUGAGGGGGGCUGCUCCUAGUACGAGAGGACCGGAGUGGACGCAUCACUGGUGUUCGGGUUGUCAUGCCAAUGGCAUUGCCCGGUAGCUAAAUGCGGAAGAGAUAAGUGCUGAAAGCAUCUAAGCACGAAACUUGCCCCGAGAUGAGUUCUCCCUGAGACUUUAAGUCUCCUGAAGGAACGUUGAAGACGACGACGUUGAUAGGUCGGGUGUGUAAGUGUAGCGAUACAUUGAGCUAACCGAUACUAAUGAACCGUGAGGCUUAACCUUACAACGCCGAAG